AGUGAACGCUGGCGGUAGGCCUAACACAUGCCAGUCGAACGGCAGCACAGUAAGAGCUUGCUCUUACGGGUGGCGAGUGGCGGACGGGUGAGGAAUACAUCGGAAUCUACUUUUUCGUGGGGGAUAACGUAGGGAAACUUACGCUAAUACCGCAUACGACCUACGGGUGAAGGCAGGGGAUCUUCGGACCUUGCGCGAUUGAAUGAGCCGAUGUCGGAUUAGCUAGUUGGCGGGGUAACGGCCCACCAAGGCGACGAUCCGUAGCUGGUCUGAGAGGAUGAUCAGCCACACUGGAACUGAGACACGCUCCAGACUCCUGCGGGAGGCAGCAGUGGGGAAUAUUGGACAAUGGGCGCAAGCCUGAUCCAGCCAUACCGCGUGGGUGAAGAAGGCCUUCGGGUUGUAAAGCCCUUUUGUUGGGAAAGAAAAGCAGCAGGUUAAUACCCCGCUGUUCUGACGGUACCCAAAGAAUAAGCACCGGCUAACUUCGUG
rnacentral:rRNA from 1 species